AUUGCCCUAGUAACGGCGAGUGAAGCGGCAACAGCUCAAAUUUGAAAUCUGGCCCUCUUGGGGGUCCGAGUUGUAAUUUGUAGAGGGUGCUUUGGCGUUGGCCCCGGCCUAAGUUCCUUGGAACAGGACGUCACAGAGGGUGAGAACCCCGUACGUGGCUGGUGGUCUUCGCCGUGUAAAGCCCCUUCGACGAGUCGAGUUGUUUGGGAAUGCAGCUCUAAAUGGGAGGUAAAUUUCUUCUAAAGCUAAAUAUUGGCCAGAGACCGAUAGCGCACAAGUAGAGUGAUCGAAAGAUGAAAAGCACUUUGGAAAGAGAGUCAAAAAGCACGUGAAAUUGUUGAAAGGGAAGCGCUUGCAGCCAGACUUGCCUGUAGUUGCUCAUCCGGGCUCUUGCCCGGUGCACUCUUCUGCGGGCAGGCCAGCAUCAGUCCAGGCGGUCGGAUAAAGGCCUUGGGAAUGUGGCUCUCUUCGGGGAGUGUUAUAGCCCAGGGUGCAAUGCGGCCAGCUUGGACUGAGGUCCGCGCAUCUGCUAGGAUGCUGGCGUAAUGGCUGUAAGCGGCCCGUCUUGAAACACGGACCAAGGAGUCUAACAUCUAUGCGAGUGUUUGGGUGUCAAGCCCGAGCGCGUAAUGAAAGUGAACGGAGGUGGGAACCCCUCGGGGCGCACCAUCGACCGAUCCUGAUGUCUUCGGAUGGAUUUGAGUAAGAGCAUAGCUGUUGGGACCCGAAAGAUGGUGAACUAUGCCUGAAUAGGGUGAAGCCAGAGGAAACUCUGGUGGAGGCUCGCAGCGGUUCUGACGUGCAAAUCGAUCGUCAAAUUUGGGCAUAGGGCGAAAGACUAAUCGA
rnacentral:rRNA from 1 species